AGUGAACGCUGGCGGUAGGCCUAACACAUGCAAGUCGAACGGCAGCACAGUAAGAGCUUGCUCUUACGGGUGGCGAGUGGCGGACGGGUGAGGAAUACAUCGGAAUCUACUUUUUCGUGGGGGAUAACGUAGGGAAACUUACGCUAAUACCGCAUACGACCUACGGGUGAAAGCAGGGGAUCUUCGGACCUUGCGCGAUUGAAUGAGCCGAUGUCGGAUUAGCUAGUUGGCGGGGUAAAGGCCCACCAAGGCGACGAUCCGUAGCUGGUCUGAGAGGAUGAUCAGCCACACUGGAACUGAGACACGGUCCAGACUCCUACGGGAGGCAGCAGUGGGGAAUAUUGGACAAUGGGCGCAAGCCUGAUCCAGCCAUACCGCGUGGGUGAAGAAGGCCUUCGGGUUGUAAAGCCCUUUUGUUGGGAAAGAAAAGCAGCAGGUUAAUACCCCGCUGUUCCGACGGUACAAAAGAAUAAGCACCGGCUAACUUCGUG
rnacentral:rRNA from 1 species